rnacentral:rRNA from 1 species
CAGUCGCCGCGGGAAUACGUAGGGUGCAAGCGUUAAUCGGAAUUACUGGGCGUAAAGCGUGCGCAGGCGGUUAUAUAAUACAGAUGUGAAAUCCCCGGGCUCAACCUGGGAACUGCAUUUGUGACUGUAUAGCUAGAGUACGGCAGAGGGGGAUGGAAUUCCGCGUGUAGCAGUGAAAUGCGUAGAUAUGCGGAGGAACACCGAUGGCGAAGGCAAUCCCCUGGGCCUGUACUGACGCUCAUGCACGAAAGCGUGGGGAGCAAACAGGAUUAGAUACCCCAGUAGUCCCUGUCUCUUAUCU